rnacentral:rRNA from 1 species
UUUAUGGAGAGUUUGAUCCUGGCUCAGAGUGAACGCUGGCGGCGUGCCUAAUACAUGCAAGUCGAACGAUGAAGCUUCUAGCUUGCUAGAGUGCUGAUUAGUGGCGCACGGGUGAGUAACGCAUAGGUUAUGUGCCUCUUAGUUUGGGAUAGCCAUUGGAAACGAUGAUUAAUACCAGAUACUCCCUACGGGGGAAAGAUUUAUCGCUAAGAGAUCAGCCUAUGUCCUAUCAGCUUGUUGGUAAGGUAAUGGCUUACCAAGGCUAUGACGGGUAUCCGGCCUGAGAGGGUGAACGGACACACUGGAACUGAGACACGGUCCAGACUCCUACGGGAGGCAGCAGUAGGGAAUAUUGCUCAAUGGGGGAAACCCUGAAGCAGCAACGCCGCGUGGAGGAUGAAGGUUUUAGGGUUGUAAACUCCUUUUGUUAGAGAAGAUAAUGACGGUAUCUAACGAAUAAGCACCGGCUAACUCCGUGCCAGCAGCCGCGGUAAUACGGAGGGUGCAAGCGUUACUCGGAAUCACUGGGCGUAAAGAGCGCGUAGGCGGGAUAGUCAGUCAGGUGUGAAAUCCUAUGGCUUAACCAUAGAACUGCAUUUGAAACUACUAUUCUAGAGUGUGGGAGAGGUAGGUGGAAUUCUUGGUGUAGGGGUAAAAUCCGUAGAGAUCAAGAGGAAUACUCAUUGCGAAGGCGACCUGCUGGAACAUUACUGACGCUGAUUGCGCGAAAGCGUGGGGAGCAAACAGGAUUAGAUACCCUGGUAGUCCACGCCCUAAACGAUGGAUGCUAGUUGUUGGAGGGCUUAGUCUCUCCAGUAAUGCAGCUAACGCAUUAAGCAUCCCGCCUGGGGAGUACGGUCGCAAGAUUAAAACUCAAAGGAAUAGACGGGGACCCGCACAAGCGGUGGAGCAUGUGGUUUAAUUCGAAGAUACACGAAGAACCUUACCUAGGCUUGACAUUGAGAGAAUCCGCUAGAAAUAGUGGAGUGUCUGGCUUGCUAGACCUUGAAAACAGGUGCUGCACGGCUGUCGUCAGCUCGUGUCGUGAGAUGUUGGGUUAAGUCCCGCAACGAGCGCAACCCCCUUUCUUAGUUGCUAACAGGUUAUGCUGAGAACUCUAAGGAUACUGCCUCCGUAAGGAGGAGGAAGGUGGGGACGACGUCAAGUCAUCAUGGCCCUUACGCCUAGGGCUACACACGUGCUACAAUGGGGUGCACAAAGAGAAGCAAUACUGCGAAGUGGAGCCAAUCUUCAAAACACCUCUCAGUUCGGAUUGUAGGCUGCAACUCGCCUGCAUGAAGCUGGAAUCGCUAGUAAUCGCAAAUCAGCCAUGUUGCGGUGAAUACGUUCCCGGGUCUUGUACUCACCGCCCGUCACACCAUGGGAGUUGUGUUUGCCUUAAGUCAGGAUGCUAAAUUGGCUACUGCCCACGGCACACACAGCGACUGGGGUGAAGUCGUAACAAGGUAACCGUAGGUGAACCUGCGGUUGGAUCACCUCCUUUCUAGA